GGGUUAGUAGGUUGGUCAUGCCUCUGGUAUGUACUGGUCUCACUGAUUCCUCCUUCCUGAUGAACUGUAAUGCCAUUAAUUUGGUGUUGCAGGGAAUCUGAACUGUUACUUUGAAAAAAUUAGAGUGUUCAAAGCAGGCUUAUGCCCGAAUACAUUAGCAUGGAAUAAUAAAAUAGGACGUGCGGUUCUAUUUUGUUGGUUUCUAGAGUCGCCGUA
rnacentral:rRNA from 1 species